AUUCAAGUAGAACCCUAGUGGACAUGGCUUCUGCCUGGUAAGCGGAACACUGUGGGUUCGAUUCCCAUCCCUGGACA
rnacentral:tRNA from 1 species